ACAAGGCCGCAAGGUUAUGUGGGACUUGUUUAACCGCCACGCAUUAUUUUCAAAUUUUGAGCGCGUCUUUGUAUGUAGUUUGUCAUCCGUUGAUUCAACGUUUUAUAACUGAUACUGGUAGAAUUUAGUGCGUUUUUCUUUCGUAUUUUAACAUAAAAUACGCAUUCUUUGAAUUUGUCAAAGAGGAAUCAUAGGAGGGUGGUGAAACGCGCUGUAGUAUGCGAGAAGAAUCAGAAGAUAUGGAUAAUUUUGUGAAUGCCUGAAAGGUGACUAGGAUCGUGAGAAAGAAAGGCCAUGGCAAUGAGAAAUUUCUAAAGUUAAGAAAAUAAUCAAAAGUUCAUUGACCCAUCUAUACAACAACAUGUGUAGCUAAAGUAUUGGAAUUCAGUGAUUUCCUUUUGUCCAAGCAUCACACUAACCAAAGGUCAAAAUGGAGCUCUAUUAAAGCAAUAUUAAAUGUGAAAGGUUUUGUUUAUGCAGUGCCGUGGAUGCAAGAACAACUUUGCUCUCAUUUCAUCACUGGAAAGGCUUCAAAUGCCUAGCUUAAUUCAAAGAAAAGGAUGCAAAACCAGAGCCAGAGAAAGUUAAGAGUAUAUAUGCUGUGUCUAAAGUAUGGUGCAAAAAGGUUUGAGGGAAAAGAGGCUGACAUAUGACAAGUUAC